CCUACGAGUGGCAGCAGUGAGGAAUAUUGGUCAAUGGGCGCGAGCCUGAACCAGCCAAGUCGCGUGAGGGAUGACGGCCCUACGGGUUGUAAACCUCUUUUGCCGGGGAGCAACGGGCGCCACGUGUGGCGCCACUGAGAGUACCCGGAGAAAAAGCAUCGGCUAACCCCGUGCCACCACCAGCGGUAAUCCGGAGGUUGCGAGCUUUAUCCGGAUUUAUUGGGUUUAAAGGGUGCGUAGGCGGAUUGUUAAGUCAGUGGUAAAAUUGAGGGGCUAAACCCCUUCCCGCCAUUGAAACUGGCGCUCUUGAGUGGAAGAGAGGUAUGCGGAAUGCGUGGUGUAGCGGUGAAAUGCAUAGAUAUCACGCAGAACCCCGAUUGCGAAGGCAGCAUGCCGGCUUCCGACUGACGCUGAAGCACGAAAGCGUGGGGAUCGAACAGGAUUAGAUACCCUGGUAGUC
rnacentral:rRNA from 1 species